UACGUAGGGUGCGAGCGUUGUCCGGAAUUACUGGGCGUAAAGAGCUCGUAGGUGGUUUGUCGCGUUGUCCGUGAAAACUCACAGCUUAACUGUGGGCGUGCGGGCGAUACGGGCAGACUGGAGUACUGCAGGGGAGACUGGAAUUCCUGGUGUAGCGGUGGAAUGCGCAGGAUAUCAGGAGGAACACCGGGUGGCCGAAGGCGGGUUCUCUGGGGCAUUACCUGACGCUGAGGAGCGAAAGUGUGGGGAGCGAACAGG
rnacentral:rRNA from 1 species